GCCAGAAACAACAGACAAUAUCAAGCAUCGGACUAAAAAGGAAAAAUGCCUACUGAAAAAUGUCCUGCCGUGCCCCAAUGGUGCUAUCGCUCGCCACAUCUAGGCAGGUGCGGCCAAGCGAGGUGUGACAUCACACAAACGCAAUCAAGCGAGUGUGUAUCUAACUGCUCGAUCGAGGAGCCUGUUCUCACAUACACAUGAUACUCGUGUGUGACAUGAUCCCUAAGAAAGUCUAUGAUUGCAUGACAUCCAACACUGUGUGUGUGUGUGUGUGUGUGUGUGUGUGUGUGUGUGUGUGUGUGUGUGUGUGUGUGUGUGUGUGUGUGUGUGUGUGUGUGUG